CGCAUGUCGUCAGUCUACAGUUGAAAAUUGUGUGGAGUGGACGUGUCGUCGCGAAUUGUGAUUAUCGCAGUUUAAUUGGUAGCGUUAUGGUAAUAUUCUCGAAGGCGGGAAAAAUUCCAAUAUGGACGCCAUUGGUGACUUUUUUUCGUGGUAAAAUUUUACAUUUCGUAUGUAUAAAUUUUUAUUCUGUUUUAUUGGAUUAUUAAUGAUUGUUGUUAAGCAAUUCAUAAUAAAAUUACGUUUUAGUUAGAAGAAAGUGAAAAAAUAAAAAGGCAGUAUUUUUAGAACAAAUGCUCGAUAAGAAGGAGAAGAAAAAAGAUCUUAUCAAUAUCAAAAAGAUAUUGCUUCUUCCUCUAUCAUUCCCCGUCCCUCUAUACUAAUUUAAUGUUAAUUUCAGAAAAUAUUAUAUUGUGACCACGCGCAAUGUGGUUAGUAGAAUCAGUGUUUGCUUCGUCAUAGUAUUUUGAAUAUUUUUUAGAGCACAAUAGCUCUGAUUAAAUUUUAAUUAGAAUAAUCAAACGGGAAGAUAGAGUCAGUGUUUGUUCGUCGAUUAUAAUUUAUGCGGACGCGUUAUUAGUUUCUUAUUUUUUAUUUUUUUUCUUUUUAUUUUAAAUAUUCGUUUCCGGUACAGAGUAGAGUCGGUGCUUCUCUCAAGAGAAUACGGCGAUCAUCCAUCACGCGAAGAGAUUUCUUCCAUCCUUCCAUCCAUCCUGAUGACUAUCCAACCUUCUUCUCGAUGACUUCUUGGCUACAAUAACAAUGAAGGCGUUCGCAUCGUAUGGUGAGUCGCAUGCUUUUUGGUUCCUCCGGUCACUCAAUCAUGUCGUAGGAUAAAAGAUCCGAAUCGACACGAGUGAUUGGUUGUAUACGUAGAAUUUUGCACGAGCACAAUGACCGCGGGUAUAUUAUAUUAUUAUAAAUAAAUACCCGCGAGUAGUAACAAUUAUUUCUAUUGUGUUUUAUUUAUUAGUUCAGGCUAGAGUCUUCUUACGCUUCGCGUUUUUGAUUAAUAUAAAAUGUUUGGUAAUUUUCUGAACAUAACUGGCAUAAAACGUAUAAUAAUUAUUAUUAUAUAAUUAUCAGUGUAAUACAUGUUACUGUUAAUUUGAAUUUCUAUAAUUCAAAAUUCUUCAGAGUAACAUUUUAAGUUAUUUGGUCAAUUUGAUUAUUGUGUUUGUCAUAUAAUAAUUUCAUAUAACUUCAGUAUGAUUUACAACACUGGUAGAUAGUAAAGUUCAAUUUUUACUCGUACAAAUGUGAAUUAAAUUUUGCGCAAGGAGACAUUUCGCGACAGGCAGAUUUUAGAAUCAGAGCAAUAAGUUUUGAAUAUCAUUCUUCUUGGUUUUGAAAAUAUGCUCUGAUGAAGGAAUCGUCUGAGGGUAUUUCUAUUAAUAUUUUAUAUUAAAUUACAAUGAAUUCUAAAUUCCUUUUUCAAUUCAAUAUUAAAAAUUUAAUAUGCUAAAAAUUCAAGAACUUGUUUAAUUAAUGAUACGAAAUAUAAAAUAGAGUCACACAAAAUUUGAAACAUGAUAAUAAAAAUUUGAAAUAUAUAAUAUAAUUUAUAUAAUUGUAUAAUUUGAAAUAUAUAAUACAAAGUCAAAGAAUAUUAGCCCGUUAGAUACAAAAUGA